UGGCGGACGGGUGAGUAACACGUAAGAAUUUGCCUUUAGGAGGGGGAUAACAACUGGAAACGGUUGCUAAUACCCCAUAUGCUUUCGAGUAAAAUGGAUUUUCCGCCUAAAGAGAAGCUUGCGGCUGAUUAGCUUGUUGGUGAGGUAAUGGCUCACCAAGGCGACGAUCAGUAUCUGGUUUGAGAGGACGAUCAGACACACUGGAACUGAGACACGGUCCAG
rnacentral:rRNA from 1 species